rnacentral:lncRNA from 1 species
UGUCUGCACACUAUAGUGAUUGGUCGUAUCACUCACAGGAGGCGGGAGAUGAGUCAACGAAAUCAAAACAAAUGCACAUUUUCAAGAAAUCUGUUGCCAAAGUCUGGCUAAACGCUAAAAACACGAGUUUUUACACAUACACAGUGUAUGUUUAGUUCUGAAGAAGGCUAAACAGCGUCUUUUAGCUUUAGCUUUUAGCUAAGCUAGCGCGCAGCAUGCUAAACCGUUUAGCUACAACUGCUUUGGGACAGUUGUGCUUCUGUAAAGUUGCUGGGUGGCACCGCGAACCGACGCCGAACUUCAGAACACUGGACCGAGGAUCACACAGGGCCCACGUGGACCCGGAAGGCGAACUGCGCGUUAUUAAACCAAGUGGGGCCGCACAGGACGUUUGUUUCCCGGCUAUUGCUUCCGUCGCCAUUGAAACCUUAAGAAAUGUCCGUGAUGGAAGUCAUGAGCUCCACUUAACCUCCUGGCCUAGAAUGAAAUCAGUGAGCUAGACAUAAAGCGACACUAGACCUUAGUGUAACUGUCCUGAAGCACAUUUCAGCAUCAGUAGAUCGAACACUGGUGACCUUGCUGUUGGUCAUUAUCUGUUACAGAUAAUCUGCUGCUCAAUGCCUACAGUCAUUCAGCCUAAACUGAUGCCUCAAUAACAACCUACCUGUGUGUGUGUGUGCGUGCGUGCGUGCGUGCGUGUGGACCCCCCUGGUCUUGAUAGCAGAGGGGCAGAUCAGAUGGAGAGGUCCUUCUGGCGUCAAAGGCUUUGCAUAUGUAGGCAUCCAGUGGCUAUUUCGAAGCUGUGGGUUAGUCGCCACACCAUGACGCUCUGGCAUGGUGCGCUUCUCAUUAUGUUAAUUAUGUAAAUAGUUAUGUAAAUAAAAUAAAUAUGCAAAUAUACA